GCUAUACAUGCAGUCGAACGCUUCCUACCGGUGCUUGCACCGGGAAAGAAGAGUGGCGGACGGGUGAGUAACACGUGGGUAACCUACCUACAAGCGGGGGAUAACAUUCGGAAACGGAUGCUAAUACCGCAUAGAUCUUUUUGUCUCCUGGCAGAAAGAAGAAAGACGGUUUCGGCUGUCACUUGUAGAUGGACCCGCGGCGCAUUAGUUAGUUGGUGAGGUAAUGGCUCACCAAGACGAUGAUGCGUAGCCGACCUGAGAGGGUGAUCGGCCACACUGGGACUGAGACACGGCCCAGACUCCUACGGGAGGCAGCAGUAGGGAAUCUUCCGCAAUGGACGAAAGUCUGACGGAGCAACGCCGCGUGAGUGAAGAAGGUUUUCGGAUCGUAAAACUCUGUUGUUAGAGAAGAACAAGGAUGAGAGUAACUGCUCGUCCCUUGACGGUAUCUAACCAGAAAGCCAUGGCUAACUACGUGCCAGCAGCCGCGGUAAUACGUAGAUGGCAAGCGUUGUCCGGAUUUAUUGGGCGUAAAGCGAGCGCAGGCGGUUCUUUAAGUCUGAUGUGAAAGCCCCUGGCUCAACCAGGGAGGGUCAUUGGAAACUGGAGAACUUGAGUGCAGAAGAGGAAAGUGGAAUUCCAUGUGUAGCGGUGAAAUGCGUAGAUAUAUGGAGGAACACCAGUGGCGAAGGCGACUUUCUGGUCUGUAACUGACGCUGAGGCUCGAAAGCAUGGGG
rnacentral:rRNA from 1 species